AUCAGACAUUCUCUUUUCGGGUUGUUUGUAUUCAAGUAGAGUCCCCUCAAGGAUGAGAGUGUUCGAGCUUGGGGAACAGCUCAGUGGUACAGCAUUAGACUUCAAUCUCGAACACACACGAACAUGCACAUGCAUGCACACAUAUGAGCUCACACACACGGAAGACUUUAAUUCUUUGCUUGGAAACUAAAUGUCAAUUCAACCCAGAGCUAACUAGCUCUGAAAGAAUUCAUUCAAAGCUAAACUAUCACAGUACAUCUUUAAAAGAAUGAACACUGUGAUAUAUUUUAUAUAGAGAGGUAGGGAGGUAGAUAUCACAAAAUAAACAGGUAUUUUAUUUUUCAUUCACAGUUCUGGGAAAUGGCAGAUCCUCCCCAGUGAUUACAAGCCAAAGGCCUAUAUAGCGCGCGCCUUGAAUGAAAUACAAGCAGCUGCUUUUAAGGGACUCUUUCUCCCCUGACUCUAUCAAAUGAUACUUUGUUUUUCUACUACACACAUACUAAAAAAAAAAAUGUGCAAUUAUUAUUGUAAUCAAGACACCCGCCAACUGUCCACCCUGGGUGGAUAGAGGUGUAGUCACAGCACUGAAAAGUAAGAGUCCUGGAUCGUGAUACCUUGCCGCCGUCUAUUCAGUCAAACCAUUGUCUUGGAUUCUCUCCAUGACCCACUCCAGUCCAGCUCUUCUGAGCCCUCUCGCUGGUCCCCAGCCUGAACGAAUGCAUCAUUUCUGACAGCCUCCAUUCUCGAGUGCCUGCCUAAGGAAGUCUGCUGAGGCCGCCAAGGAUUUGCACUCUGCUUCCGUCACCCAGCUCUGCGGAAAGACGGGACCCCAGCUCCUAAGGGCAGAUCACUGCUCGGAGCCUGAACUGGCUGGUUCAUCCUUGACAUGGUGCUGGAAGAAGCCGCAACACUAGCAGCUUGCUGUGUGCCUGUCUGGCAUGUGUUUGUAUAAGGAAAAAGAAACAGGCAGCCACUUGUUCCCUUGAUUGCGAACGGCCAGUGUCGCUGUCCCUCCUCCUGUUGCUUCUCCCCUGUCUGUGAGGACACAGACGGAAACACUGCCCUGGGAAGCGAGGGCAAGAGGAAGGGCCGCGGUUGGUCAACAUCUGCGGAGUGAAAAAUACAGAAAAUGAUUUCUUUUGGUGUGUUUCUGAGUUUCAUUCGGAGCGUUAAAAAAUACAUGCACUAAAAAAAUCUUAAAGUGUUUAAACAUACCAGCAAACAAGGAGCAGCAACUGACAACGGGGAAAUAUUCUCACUAUGUAAAACUAAAGAAGUCAAUGUUAAUAUUUUAUUACAGAUCUCUUCCAACUAUGUCAAUGCUAUGUAGACAUAAAAAUUUGUGGGUCUUUUUCUUUCUAGCUCCUAUAUUACUGCCAAAAUACUUCAUUCAAAAAUUUGGAAGCCCCAAUAAAAGACUGCUCCAGCGUAGGGACUUAGCCUAUCAGCAGAUGUGGGAGAGGAGCUGCUGAGCACUCUGCUCCGGUGGCUGACUGUAGCCUGCAGGCCACCGCUUUGGCCGGGUCUGCCCUGAGCUGUUUUUCCUGACCUGUCGAGGUUGGGACCCCACUGUUUACCUCCUCACGGCCUCCUUUGGUUCUUCACAACACUCCCGCAGAGAAGUCUCUAAUGACGGAUUGGCCUUUGUUUUCCAGACCCUUCCUAACUGUGGCUGGGUCAGAGGUGCAGAUGCCUGGGUAGUGUCUCCCUUCUCCACCCUGCUGCUAGCCUUAGCAGCCAAACCCAGGGGCUGGCAGGACUUGCAGCGCUGUUCCCAAAGCAUUUUCCCUUGCCAUUUUCACCGCUUGUCCCAGGGAUAUACUUUUGUGGAUGUAAAUUUUCAA